rnacentral:tRNA from 1 species
GCGGGAGUAGCUCAGUUGGUAGAGCGCAAGCCUUCCAAGCUUGGGGUCGCGGGUUCGAGUCCCGUUUCCCGCUCCA